GAUCAAAGGACUUACGUGGCAGUGCGGUGCAAUGGUGAUAGACGGCGGCAACGGUAGUGGUGGCAUAGGUACUUGUAUAGGGGUUUGUAUGCCGCAGAUCGACACACAUGCGACCAGUGCCUCCGAAUACAUGAAAAGUUGACAGAGAAAGCUGGCUUGGGUUGCACACUGCGCGCCCUCGCAGACACUGUGAAUAUUUUUUGACUUAACCGCUACAUCUAAAGAUUUUGUUUCUAACAAAUCUUUUGCCUUCGAAAAAACAAGGUUUGCCAUUUGCUCUUAUUAAAUAAUUGAAAAUUUGGUAUUGACAACUAAUUGUUUGUAAUUUCUCAUUUAUUUAUUUGUAGAAGUUCAAAUUUCUCCAGGAGAUAAUGUAACUUGUAGAAAAGCUUUGUGAAUUUUUUUGAGGUCUAGCUGGAAUGAUAUCCCAAGCUUUAGACAUAUUGUUAAGUGAUUUAGAAGUAACAAAUUAAAAUUUAAUGAUUUCAAUAUAGCAAACAAAACUUAUCCUUUCAUCUUCAAUUACAUCGAUUCAAAAGUUGUUGGGAAAUUGAUAAUUGGAUGGGCCCGUAUG
rnacentral:misc_RNA from 1 species